AACCAGUGAUUAAGCACCUGGUGAGAAGGCAGGGCCAACCCAGGAGAGCUCAGGUACAUGCAAUGCACCUGAGUGAUCAGAAGUGGUGGAGCCAGGACCCACUCCUUCCCAGACCUCGUUUAAGGGUUGGCAAUAGAGACAAAGGUAUCUUGGUGGAGAUCCUGGCCUGCAUGUGACCUUCUAAGGGUUGUAUAAUAAAUAAAGAAUCCUGUGAUUAUUUCUGGAGAUCAGGUAUUUCAGAUUACUCUGAAUGAAGGAACCACUUCUGGAAAUGGACUUGUGAAAUCAAGAUCUCAAGCAGAUUCAUUUCUGCAUUAAAACGGAGUGUUUUACAGAUUUUAUCAUUUUAAAAUUAGCUGGGUUAAGACUGCUUCUUAUUAACAUCUUUGCAGACUUAAAAUUUAGAUGAAAUCUAAUGUUAGAUGUUAGCAAAAUUUAAAGCUCCUUAUGGUGGGGCUUCUACUAAGAUUUUUUCAUUUUUUUCUUUCUUCUGUGUUGCAUGGGAAUGUACAUAAUUAAAAAUGGAUACAGAUGAAAUUUGAAGAUGAUUUUUAAAACUGAGGUGGAUGAAGAUUACAGAAAGAUUGAGGGGGGAAAAUAAUAAUUAUUAUUAGAGAUAACAAGGCUGUAUCUUCGGGCUCUAUCAUGCUUCAUUAUUUCAUGUUUCUUUAGAUGACACUCAGUAAUUUUGAUGGGAAUGACACUGGGAAGAUGGGAAGAAUGCUGACUGUGGAAAAGCAUCCUUGAUGGACUGUUAGAGAAUUUUUUUUAUGCAGUUUCAUUUUUUUUUCCUGUUUCUUAUCUGAAAAUCUGUAUAUUAAUUUAUAUUAAUAUUAACUGUAAUGAAAAAAGCAGCUAAUUGUGUAGUGGGAUGUGUCAGCAUGACUGAAAUCAGCAGAUUUAGAAUUUGAUUACUUCAAGUUUAUUUCUCUAGAAUAUAAAAAAUCUGACAAUAGAGAACAUAGAGAGUUGGCUGGAUUUAAUAAACUUUUGUGCAACG
ensembl:lncRNA